rnacentral:rRNA from 1 species
GCGUGAGUGAUGAAGGCCUUCGGGUUGUAAAGCUCUGUGGGGCGAGACGAAUAAGUGCAGCCUAAUACGUUGCAUGAUGACGGUAUCGCCUUAGCAAGCACCGGCUAACUCUGUGCCAGCAGCCGCGGUAAGACAGAGGGUGCAAACGUUGUUCGGAAUUACUGGGCGUAAAGCGAGUGUAGGCGGUCUUCUAAGUCGGAUGUGAAAGCCCCGGGCUCAACCCGGGAAGUGCACUCGAAACUGGAAGGCUAGAGUAUCGGAGAGGUUGGUGGAAUUCUCGGUGUAGAGGUGAAAUUCGUAGAUAUCGAGAGGAACACCGGUGGCGAAGGCGGCCAACUGGACGAAUACUGACGCUGAGACUCGAAAGCGUGGGGAGCAAACAGGAUUAGAUACCCUGGUAGUCCACGCCGUAAACGAUGGGUGCUAGGUGUCGCGGGCUUUGACUCCCGCGGUGCCGUAGCUAACGCAUUAAGCACCCCGCCUGGGAAGUACGGCCGCAAGGCUA